rnacentral:rRNA from 1 species
GACGAACGCUGGCGGCGUGCCUAAUACAUGCAAGUCGAGCGGACUUUCAAGAAGCUUGCUUUUUGAACGUUAGCGGCGGACGGGUGAGUAACACGUGGACAACCUCCCUGCAAGACGGGGAUAACUCCGGGAAACCGGGGCUAAUACCGGAUAAUAUCUUCCUUCGCAUGAAGGAAGGUUGAAAGUCGGCGCUCGUUGCCGCUUGCGCAUGGUCCCGCGGCCGAUUAGUAAGUGGGGGAGGUAAAGGCUCACCAGGGGAACGGUCGUGAGCCGGCCUGGGGGGGGGGUCGGCCGCCCUGGGACUGGGACAAGGCACAGACUGCCUCGGGGAGCAGCAGUAGGGAAACGUCCGCAAAGGGCGAAAGUCUGACGGAGGAAAGCCGCGGGAGCGAAGAAGGGCUUCGGAUCGUAAAGCUCUGGUGUCAGGGAAGAAAAAGUAGCGUUCGAAGAGGGGGGUGUCUUGACGGUACCUGACCAGAAAGCCACGGCUAACUACGUG